rnacentral:rRNA from 1 species
CGCGUAGGAAACUGCCCAGUAGUGGGGGAUAACAUGGUGAAAACCAUGCUAAUACCGCAUACGCCCUAAGGGGGAAAGCGGGGGAUCUUCGGACCUCGUGCUAUUGGAUGUGCCUGCGUAAGAUUAGCUAGUUGGUGGGGUAAAGGCCUACCAAGGCGACGAUCUUUAGCUGGUCUGAGAGGAUGAUCAGCCACACUGGAACUGAGACACGGUCCAGACUCCUACGGGAGGCAGCAGUGGGGAAUAUUGGACAAUGGGCGCAAGCCUGAUCCAGCCAUACCGCGUGUGUGAAGAAGGCCU